rnacentral:rRNA from 1 species
GACGAACGCUGGCGGCGUGCCUAAUACAUGCAAGUUGAGCGAUGAAGUUUGGUGCUUGCACCAAUUUGAAGAGCAGCGAACGGGUGAGUAAGGCGUGGGGAAUCUGCCUUUGAGCGGGGGACAACAUUUGGAAACGAAUGCUAAUACCGCAUAACAACUUUAAACAUAAGUUUUAAGUUUGAAAGAUGCAAUUGCAUCACUCAAAGAUGAUCCCGCGUUGUAUUAGCUAGUUGGGGAGGUAAAGGCUCACCAAGGCGAUGAUACAUAGCCGACCUGAGAGGGAUCGGCCACAUUGGGACUGAGACACGGCCCAAACGCCUACGGGAGGCAGCAGUAGGGAAUCUUCGGCAAUGGACGAAAGUCUGACCGAGCAACGCCGCGUGAGUGAAGAAGGUUUUCGGAUCGUAAAACUCUGUUGGUAGAGAAGAACGUUGGUGAGAGUGGAAAGCUCAUCAAGUGACGGUAACUACCCAGAAAGGGACGGCUAACUACGUG